UACGUAGGGUGCAAGCGUUGUCCGGAAUUAUUGGGCGUAAAGAGCUUGUAGGCGGUUUGUCGCGUCUGCUGUGAAAUUUCGGGGCUCAACCCCGAACUUGCAGUGGGUACGGGCAGACUAGAGUGUGGUAGGGGAGACUGGAAUUCCUGGUGUAGCGGUGAAAUGCGCAGAUAUCAGGAGGAACACCGAUGGCGAAGGCGACACGCUGGGCCAUACCUGACGCUAAAGCGCGACAGCAUGGGGAGCAAACGGG
rnacentral:rRNA from 1 species